AUGUUUCGCUUCGUGAAGUUAAUCCUCAUUACAUAUCUCUUUCUUGAACUUCAGUUUCUUCUAUUGAUUGGGAUUAGGAAAGGGAAACUAAAUUUUCUGCUCGUGACUUGUAAGCUGCAGCAAAAGCUUGCAAUUUCUAAUUUCCUAGCCAACCAGGUGCAUUUGUUUCAUGCCUUUCCUAAACUUUUUUAUUUAACUAGUUGUGUUCUUAAUUUUUAUCAUCUUGUAUCAUAUAUUUGUGUACUAGGCGAUGCAUUGUUCUUGGUUCUCCGUACGUUAAUUUUGCUGAUGAUGAGGUGUGUACACAAGACAGUGUGGCUCCUCAAUUUAUACACAUGA
rnacentral:rRNA from 1 species